rnacentral:rRNA from 1 species
AUACGUAGGGAGCGAGCGUUGUCCGGAUUUACUGGGUGUAAAGGGUGCGUAGGCGGCUCUGUAAGUCGGGCGUGAAAGGUGUGGGCUUAACUCACAAACUGCGUUCGAAACUGUGGAGCUUGAGUGAAGCAGAGGCAGGCGGAAUUCCCGGUGUAGCGGUGAAAUGCGUAGAGAUCGGGAGGAACACCAGUGGCGAAGGCGGCCUGCUGGGCUUUAACUGACGCUGAGGCGCGAAAGCAUGGGUAGCAAACAGGAUUAGAUACCCUGGUAGUCCAUGCCGUAAACGAUGAUUACUAGGUGUGGGGGGUCUGACCCCCUCCGUGCCGGAGUUAACACAAUAAGUAAUCCACCUGGGGAGUACGGCCGCAAGGUUGAA